rnacentral:lncRNA from 1 species
CAGCCACAUCAACACCUCCUGAGCCUUGACGCAAUAGAUUGACGUUAGAAGAAGGGCCUAAACCUUCACCUCCUACUCCACGCAUACUCCCCCUUGACUAGAGGGCUAUUGUUGUGAGAAGAGUAUGUUUAGUCCCACAUCAGUUAUGAGUCAAGGAAGAAUAUAGCUUAUAUGGAAUGAGAUAUUUUCUUUCCUAUAAGGUACUUUUUAAAGGGCAAAACUGUGAGGCUCGAAAUAGUCAAGGCCCACUAAAGCUAACAAGGGCUAACCUCUGGAGACCCCACAAGAUCCAUGGAAGCCCAAGUCGUCCUAAGCCAAAAUGGACAAUAUCUCACGUAUGUGGGAGUGGAGACGACCUAGCCAUCCGACUUUUGACCACAAUAGAUUGGUACUACAGGAAGAGUUCAACAAUCCAACUUGAGAGGGAGAGUAUGCCGUGCCACUCCUCCACCUUCCAUCGACCAUCAACUCGACGAGGCCAAGGGGGAACCUCCCAGUCAUCCACCUCACAUAGUUUGGUGGUCCCAGAGUAGCUACCCAUGAUGGCAGAAUCCCAAUGAUUUGAUGACCUGAUCCAC